rnacentral:rRNA from 1 species
GACGGAGGGGGCGAGCGUUAUUCGGAAUUAUUGGGCGUAAAGGGCGCGUAGGCGGCUUUGUAAGUCAAAGGUGAAAUCCCUCGGCUCAACUGAGGAACUGCCUUUGAAACUGCGAGGCUUGAGGCCGGGAGGGGGUAGCGGAAUUCCCAAUGUAGCGGUGAAAUGCGUAGAUAUUGGGAGGAACACCAGUGGCGAAGGCGGCUACCUGGACCGGUUCUGACGCUGAUGCGCGAAAGCGUGGGUAGCAAACAGG